AUGGAUAUCCACUCAGGAUCAGUCUAGAACAGCCCUCUUAAGAUUGCAUUUUCUUCUCCAAAAAAAUUUAGCCUACGAAACUAAACGAAAUCUGAAUCAUGAUCAACUCUUUGAUCUCUUUCCUUGAUCUUCUUCUUCUCUUCUUCUCUUGCCUUUCUUUUUUUGAAUAUGCUGCUACCAAACACUAGGAACCAACACUCAAAAGGGACGCC
rnacentral:lncRNA from 1 species